rnacentral:rRNA from 1 species
AGACAGGUGCUGCAUGGCUGUCGUCAGCUCGUGUCGUGAGAUGUUGGGUUAAGUCCCGCAACGAGCGCAACCCUUGUCAUUAGUUGCCAGCAUUAAGUUGGGCACUCUAAUGAGACUGCCGGUGACAAACCGGAGGAAGGUGGGGAUGACGUCAAGUCAUCAUGCCCCUUAUGACCUGGGCUACACACGUGCUACAAUGGACGGUACAACGAGAAGCGACCCUGUGAAGGCAAGCGGAUCUCUGAAAGCCGUUCUCAGUUCGGAUUGUAGGC